GCCUUUGUGGUGUAGUGGUCAGCACAUUGGACGCGUAGCCAAGAGGUCCGUGGUUCGAUUCCCGGCAAAGGUG
rfam:Stegodyphus mimosarum contig106491, whole genome shotgun sequence.